AGUGAACGCUGGCGGUAGGCCUAACACAUGCAAGUCGAACGGCAGCACAGGAUAGCUUGCUCUCUGGGUGGCGAGUGGCGGACGGGUGAGGAAUACAUCGGAAUCUACUUUUUCGUGGGGGAUAACGUAGGGAAACUUACGCUAAUACCGCAUACGACCUACGGGUGAAAGCAGGGGACCUUCGGGCCUUGCGCGAUUGAAUGAGCCGAUGUCGGAUUAGCUAGUUGGCGGGGUAAAGGCCCACCAAGGCGACGAUCCGUAGCCGGUCUGAGAGGAUGAUCAGCCACACUGGAACUGAGACACGGUCCAGACUCCUACGGGAGGCAGCAGUGGGGAAUAUUGGACAAUGGGCGCAAGCCUGAUCCAGCCAUACCGCGUGGGUGAAGAAGGCCUUCGGGUUGUAAAGCCCUUUUGUUGGGAAAGAAAUCCAGCUGGUUAAUACCCGGUUGGGAUGACGGUACCCAAAGAAUAAGCACCGGCUAACUUCGUGCCAGCCGCCGCCGUAA
rnacentral:rRNA from 1 species